rnacentral:rRNA from 1 species
UACGUAGGGUGCAAGCGUUGUCCGGAAUUAUUGGGCGUAAAGAGCUCGUAGGCGGUUUGUCGCGUCUGCUGUGAAAACCCGAGGCUCAACCUCGGGCCUGCAGUGGGUACGGGCAGACUAGAGUGCGGUAGGGGAGAUUGGAAUUCCUGGUGUAGCGGUGGAAUGCGCAGAUAUCAGGAGGAACACCGGGUGGCGAAGGCGGGUCUCUGGGCAGUAACUGACGCUGGAGGAGCGAAAGCGUGGGGAGCGAACAGG